UCAGCUUGUUGGUGGGGUAAUGGCCUACCAAGGCGACGACGGGUAGCCGGCCUGAGAGGGCGACCGGCCACACUGGGACUGAGACACGGCCCAGACUCCUACGGGAGGCAGCAGUGGGGAAUAUUGCACAAUGGGCGAAAGCCUGAUGCAGCGACGCCGCGUGAGGGAUGACGGCCUUCGGGUUGUAAACCUCUUUCAGCAGGGAAGAAGCGAGAGUGACGGUACCUGCAGAAGAAGCGCCGGCUAAC
rnacentral:rRNA from 1 species